GAGCUGUAAAUCAGCCGUGGGAUUCAUCAAUGGCACCAAACUUGCAAGCAGAGUUUAUUGCUCCAGCUGGACUUUCAUCCCAAGUUGCGCCAAGGCCACCUCAAGAAACAAGUUCUGGUCUUCUGUCACAACCUCCUGCGGAGGCUAAACCUAGUGGAAGAAAGGCACUCCCAGAGGAUCUUUUCGCUUCUCUUUAUCAAUCAGCACCUACGCCAGCUCCAGGCUGGCAAAGAAGUCCAUAUUUUGGCAUGGGUAUGCAGUAUCCUACAGGAGUGUUACAGACAGCAGCGACGGCUCCCCACCCAUCGAAUUCUUCCAACCCAUUUG
rnacentral:misc_RNA from 1 species